GAGGCGAACCGGGAGAACUGAAACAUCUCAGUACCCCGAGGAAAAGAAAUCAACCGAGAUUCCCCUAGUAGCGGCGAGCGAACGGGGAGCAGCCCAGAGUCUUAAUCAAUAGCAGUGUCAGGAGAACGGUCUGGAAAGUCCGGCAGUAAAGGGUGAUAGCCCCGUAUCUGAAGAUGCUGUUAUUGUGAACUCGAUGAGUAGGGCGGGACACGUGUUAUCCUGUCUGAAUAUGGGGGGACCAUCCUCCAAGGCUAAAUACUCCUGAUUGACCGAUAGUGAACCAGUACCGUGAGGGAAAGGCGAAAAGAACCCCGGCGAGGGGAGUGAAAAAGAACCUGAAACCGUGUACGUACAAGCAGUAGGAGCCCCAUCACUCAAGUGCCUCGCACUGAGUGAUGCAAGAACAUCACCGAAAAUAGCGCCGAAUUUGCUAACAAGGUUGGUCGAUUUUUUCAAGCCGUCGCGCAGUGUACCUAGAAGUACACGAGCAACGGAAGUUAAAAAAUCGGGCAAGAAUGAACGCAAAGGCAAGCGGGACAUUUGAGGAUGGGGUGACUGCGUACCUUUUGUAUAAUGGGUCAGCGACUUAUAUUCUGUAGCAAGGUUAACCGUAUAGGGGAGCCGUAGGGAAACCGAGUCUUAACUGGGCGAAUGAGU
rnacentral:rRNA from 1 species